CCUACGGGAGGCAGCAGUGAGGAAUAUUGCUCAAUGGCCGAGAGGCUGAAGCAGCCAAGUCGCGUGUGUGAAGAAUGUCCUAUGGAUUGUAAACCUCUUUAGUCAGGGAGCAAAGUCUCACACGUGUGGGUGUGGGAGAGUACCUGAAGAACAAGCAUAGGCUAACUCCGUGCCAGCAGCCGCGGUACGAGGGGGGAUGCGAGCGUUAUCGGGAUUUGUUGGGUUGAACGUGUGCGUAGGCGGGUUAUCAAGUCAGCGGUAAAAUCGUGGAGCUCAACUCCAUCCAGCCGUUGAAACUGAUGAUCUUGAGUGUGCGAGAAGUAUGCGGAAUGCGUGGUGUAGCGGUGAAAUGCAUAGAGAUCACGCAGAACUCCGAUUGCGAAGGCAGCAUCCCGGCGCCCGACUGACGCUGAAGUGCGAAAGCGUGGGUAUCGAACAGGAUUAGAUACCCCAGUAGUC
rnacentral:rRNA from 1 species